GACUGUGGCCUGCAGAAAACAUCUGAUGACAUGGACGUGAUGGGGUAAGUUGCGAAAACUCAUGGGGCCCUACAACAAGUUGACAUAAAUCCUGAAAAUGUUCACAGCCUGUUUGAAAAAUACAUUAUUCAUCGGGGGACUAACUGGGACAUCAUUUUGUGCCUAGAUAUUUAAACAAGUCAAUUGCCAAGCUACAAAUGGGGCUGGCAGUGUGGCGCAACAAGCCUGAGCUGCUUGAGAGUGCAGAUAUGCAUGAGGCAGGAAAGGAAAAAGGCUUCAGUACCAUGAAGACCUGGCUGCCUCAAGGGAGGCCUGCGAGGAAUGUGCUCCAGACCGGCAAGGUGCUGCUCAACAGCGAGAAGCACCAUCGGCAUCAGCAGUGUCAGCGUCACCACCUCCUUGGCAUGCAGAAGAUGUCACUCCCAAAUCGUCUCUGUAAUGCAUCCAGACGCUCAUAUCCAUCCGUCAAGGACCAACGAAUAUGUCCACAAGGAGAAGGAGGACACAGAUCGGGCAAGCCAAGCUGCUGGCCAUGGCGCUCCCAUCACAUCCAUCCGUCAAGGGGGGUCGACCAAGGCGGACUGCUGCUUUCUUCCUUCCUCCGGCGCUCGCUCCUCAACUCAAGCCCAACAUCCACCACCACUGCCGCUGGUUCGGUUCUGCCACCGUUGUCAAGCAUCUGCUCUGUCGUGCACGCCUCAAGCACAAGAGACAUCAACAACACCAGCGCCCAACCCUAGCCACACCUCAGACCCGAGAUAGCGCACAAGCUUGGUGUGAAUGGUUCCUCUCCUCUGCUCUCUCUGCACAAACAUUACUUUGUUUGUGGUUUACUUCUCGUCAGUUGCAGAACCACUAUCGAAGUCAAAACUGCUGCAAAACCGAACCAGGAUGUUUUCAAACAAAAUGCCACCAAUCUGGGACAUUAUUAGCUUCAAAGUACCAAGUGAUGAGUAAUAAUGUACCACAGAGCCGAUGCUCACAAAGGAAUAUCAUCAAAUCGUGUGGGGCGGUCUUCCAUGUACUCGGGUAGGCUCUCGGUGAAUAUGUCGACUUCUUGCGCUCCUAAUAUAUGCGGUUUUACUUAUGCCUGGUUUCAUAAGUGGUCUGUGAAAAUUGACUUUAUCUUUUGUCUCAUCAUGUUAGUUAUCAUUAUGGUGAUCAGAUAUUCUUGGCUCUUGACAAUAAGUGACUUUGAGCUUGUUAAAUUAAACUACUCUCUGCAGGUAAUAGUUGUAACUGGAGUAAUCAGUGUAAAGUUUGUGGUCUGCACCUCUUUUUUUCAUAAGAGAACACCUAUAUUUUAUAUGAAGAGUUACUGUAACAACCAUGGAACCUGAGUAUUCAGUUUGUGUACUUCCAGGGUCUACAUCUACGCCUGCUUCUCUCGCCUCAUUGAACCAUUUUUUCUCUGGGCCUUCUUUAUUUAUUUGACAGAACUUUCUUUAGCAAUACACCGAUUCAGAAUAUUCGUAUAUUCUUUUCUUAGUCAUUCUCAAUUUUGCACAAUUGUGAUUCUCAAGUGGUCUAUUUCUAUCAGGAUUCAUCUGUGAAGCCUGAGAAAGUACGCGUCGGUGGGGGUCUCCAUGGUUGCUGCCGACCGGAUGUCACCACUGCUGCCGAUGUCGUCGUUGCCCUAACCACUGUCCCGCAACACAGUGCUUAGGAGAAGGAGAGGCAUGGCUGUAGCCACAUAAACAGAUGAGGAAGAGGCGAGCUGCCGCUAGCCCCCAGUGGCGUGCUGCAUCUCCCAUUGGUGCUUGCGACAGGAGAACCACACCCCUGGCCUCUUCAUCUACGCCUCGGUUGUUGUCUCCCCAAGGAACGCCAAAGGCAACAAUAGCAAGGAGUGUAGCAGAUUCAACGUGGCGACCGAGUCGCUCCUGAAUGCGGAGAAGCGGUGCCGCCUGGCCGGUGAAGUGGCCGGCAGCAGGAAGUCUGCCGUAGACAUCGUGGAGAUCCUCUUCAAGGACAUCGCCUGGAAGACGCUCAGUGACCAGAUCAUCGUGUCAUCCUCUCCAAGAGGGGCCAGCUCAAGCAGGUACAACUGCUCACCACAGCUCGCUCCUCUUCAAGAGGGUCCAGCUCAAGCAGGUGGUCCGCCGUCGACAUCUCUUUUGUAUGCACAUCUCAACUUUAAUAGUAAGUUAUCUUUCGAUGGUUUGAGCACUAGGUUUGACUACUUGAUGAUCCUAUCGUACCUUGUAGUUUUUAUCAUUUGUAAAAUACUUUUUUCUUGCUGCUACAGAAGGAAUCUAUGGAACUUACUACA